UACGGGGGGAGCAAGCGUUGUCCGGAAUCAUUGGGCGUAAAGCGCGCGUAGGUGGCUUCGUAAGUCCGUUGUGAAAGUCAAAGGCUCAACCUUUGAAAGCCGAUGGAUACUGUGAAGCUAGAGUACGGAAGAGGCGAGUGGAAUUCCUGGUGUAGCGGUGGAAUGCGCAGAUAUGCGGAGGAACACCGAUGGCGAAGGCAAUCCCCUGGGCCUGCACUGACGCUCAUGCACGAAAGCGUGGGGAGCAAACAGG
rnacentral:rRNA from 1 species